CGCCGGAUGGCUUAGUGGUAUGAGUUCUUACUUGUACUGAGCAGGUUGCCCGCAAGGGCUGGGGUUCGAUUCCCCAUCCUGUCC